rnacentral:rRNA from 1 species
AGUGAACGCUGGCGGUAGGCCUAACACAUGCAAGUCGAACGGCAGCACAGUAAGAGCUUGCUCUUACGGGUGGCGAGUGGCGGACGGGUGAGGAAUACAUCGGAAUCUACUUUUUCGUGGGGGAUAACGUAGGGAAACUUACGCUAAUACCGCAUACGACCUACGGGUGAAAGCAGGGGAUCUUCGGACCUUGCGCGAUUGAAGGAGCCGAUGUCGGAUUGGCUGGUUGGCGGGGUAAAGGCCCACCAAGGCGACGAUCCGUAGCUGGUCUGAGAGGAUGAUCGGCCACACUGGAGCUGAGCCACCGUCCAGACUCCUGCGGGAGGCCGCAGUGGGGAAUGUUGGACAAUGGGCGCAAGCCUGAUCCAGCGAUCCCGCGUGGGUGAAGAAGGCCUUCGGGUUGUAAAGCCCUUUUGUUGGGAAAGAAAAGCAGCAGGUUAAUACCCCGCUGUCCUGACGGUACCCAAAGAAUAAGCACCGGCUAACUUCGUG